AUGAUCCAGGCCCUGGGGAUUCCUCGGCCCCUGGGAGCAGUUAGAAAAGUACCCGCACUGUUAUCUCGUGUGUCUCCUCUCUCUCACAUCAGUGAGACACGAGUGAACACUCAACUGAUCACUCUCUUGAGGCAUUCAUGUACUCCGCAAACACUGUCUGGGACCUGGAGGUGCAGGCUUUGGUUUUUUUGUUGUGAGGCACUAGCUCCUGAUCUGGGAUCAAAGCCUGCGUUGGAAGGGGAAGUCUUAACCAGUGGACAACCAGUGAAAAGAAAGCGAAAGCGAAAAUCGCUUUCAUGUCCGACUCUUUGGGACCCCAUGGAAUAUACAAUGCGUGGAAUUCUCCAGGCCAGAAUACUGGAGUGGAAAGCCUAUCCCUUCUCCAAGGGAUCUUCCCAACCCAGGGACCGAAGCGGGGUCUUCUACAUUGCAGGCAGAUUCUUUACCAACUGAGCUAUCAGGAAAGCCGGACUGCCAGGGAAGCCCCUAAAGUUGUCUUUAGAUAUUCGUAGCAAAUUCCUUUCAACCACACCUGGGUUUAUGUUAAUGAGGUGACUCGGAAAGCCUCUAAGGAUGAAAGCUGUUUGACAGGGGAACCAACUACGUGAUUGGAGGGGUGUAACUUAGCUGUCUCCCUGAACUCCAGGAAGGCGAGAGGGGCUGGAGAUUGAGUUCAAUUACUAAUGGCCAAUGAUUUAAUCCAUAGUGCUUAUGUAAUUAAUGAAGCCUCUAUAAGAACUCAAAACGAUGAGGUUCAGAGAGUUUCCAGGUUGGUAAACGUGGAGGUGCUGGCAGAGUGGUUCCUUGGAGAAGGCAUGCAAGCCCCUUCCACAUACCUCGUCCCGAGUACUUCAUCUGACUCUCAUCUGUAUCCUUUAUAAUAUCCUUUAUAAUAAACUGGUGAACCGAGAGCCACUCUAGUAAGUUAAUUGAACCCAAAGAGGGGCUCAUGGGAAUCUCCCCUUGCUGGCCACUCAGAAGCACAGGUGACAACCUGGACUUGAGAAUGGCAUCGAAGGGGGGCAGUGGGCACUUAGCUUGUGGGAUUUAAUGCUAUCUCCAGGUAGACAAUGUCAGAAUGGAGUGAAUUGCUCGGAGGUGUCAGAAAACACACGCUGGAUGGAGAACUGAUGACAAGGCGGGCCUGGCCACAGGGAGCUGGAGAAAUGACAAGAAGCCUUCUGUCUAAAAGAUCUAUUCUUACCCAGUCGAGGGACUUAGGCUCAGUCCUUUGCGAACUGGGGGGCCAUGCAGGUGUUUUAACAGGGAAUGGAGGUAGUCGAUUUGUCUCUUGAAUUAUGAUUAAUGCGCCAUUAAAAUAGCCCCUUUGAUGACAUCAUAAACCAGGAAACUUAGAGCACAAACCACAAGCAGAUUAGAUAAAGGGCAGGUACAAUCCAAACUCAGACAAAGCCACGUCUGAAUCCUGCUCCCCUUCUCACCUGCUGGGGUGAGUCACCUGGCUCUCUGAGCCAUGCUUGCUCUCCUGGAGUGGGGCUGACGUGAAACACCGCCCGUGGAGGCCCUGAGCAUAGAUCUGUAUCCACCUGAAAAGAAACCUCCCAGAUAUAUUAUCAGUCCAAAAGUGAAGUGGCAGAAGAAUACGUAUGAGACAAAUACAAGCCAAAAUGCAGAGAAAAAAGUUAGCAAGAUUCACACCAAAUUGAAAACAGCGAUUCCUUCUAGAGAGGUAGAAGAAAACCAAGACUGGAGUUAGAGAUCAAAGGAAGAUUUAGCCUCAUCUGUAAAGUUUUAUUUUCUUUUUUUUACACAGAAAAUGUAUUCCUAUACUACUUGUGUAUUUAAAAAUUAAUUUUAAAAUAACCUAACAAAAGUCCUUGACAGUGAGAAGAUAUUUGAUCAGUAUUCCCUCCUGCUUGCUCUCACAGUGAGAUUUGGGGCCUUUCCAGCCCCAUUUCCCAAUUCCAACCCUAGGUGAAGGCCGGCCUGUCAUAGUCACUCAACAAAUAUUUGUGGAAGACCUUUCUGAUAAGGUAGUAGGUCUCUUGCAAGUGGGUUAAAGGUCUCCCUUGGUGAACCUGAGACCCCACAGUCUCCCCCAGAGACCACCUGAGGCACUCAAUCCUCAGUGUCCCCAUCCUGCCCAGGACACUGCCCUCCCUCUGGCCUUCUGGUAGACCCUCGGCUCCAUGGGAAGUUCCACUCUGCCUCCUCUCUCCUGGCCUCAGAGCUCCUGGCUGGCAAAGUAGAGAGAUGCCGGCUUCCACUGCCUUCCCAAAGAAAGGCUGGGGUCACCCCUGGCCACCAAAAGGCCCUGUCCAGUGAAGAAAACCUUCAGAAGUGGGUGCCCUUGCUGAGGGCUGAGAGGACAAGAGAGACUUCAUUUUCCACUGUGAACCCCCUUUCCUGUCUGAAUAUCUUUUUAAAUAGUUACUUUUUAUAUUAAAUUAUCACUGUUUCUUUAAAUAAUCAAUUUGUGAAAACAAAAACAUCUCACAAAAACUAAUCCUAUUUUGAAAACCCUGACUGAGGCCAGAUUAGAGUCUUUGAUCAAUGUAGACUUGAAUGGAGUCAGGGCCGAAAAAGCAGUGGUCUUUUGAUGAAUGGGGUGACUCUUCUGGAGCGGAAGCUAGAGUUAAUGUCUCCUUCAUCCAAAAUACCUGAACACUGAGACUUCCCUGGUGAUCCACUGGUGGAGACUAUAUGCUUCCAAUGCAGGGGGUCUGGGUUUCAAUCCCUGGUUGGGGAACUAAGAUCCCAGAUACCAUGGAGCACAGCCAAAAAAAAAAGACAAAAAACCAACAACCCACUGACUAGAGCUCAGUGAGGAUUUCUUUCAUUUACACUUACGUAUUUAUUUUAUUUUUUUAGGAUUUCUUGGAUUUAACUCACAUGGGAAACCAUGUCUCGGGUCUGCUAAAAAUGUACUUGCUUUGGAAAGGAGGAGAGAAAAUGAGAGGACAGAAUGAAUUCGCAGAGCAAGGAAAGGGCUUGGUUAUCCUUCAGAUCUUUUCACUUCACCAUGAGACCGGAGGGGCGGAUGGGACUUGGUAUCCAGCUAAACCCAGAUCCAAGGCAGGGGGAAUUCACAUAUGACCACUGGAUAAACACUCACCCCCUCAACUAUCCCGUGAGGUGGGCAUUCUCUCCAUUUUGCAGAGCAGGAAACGGCGAUUAUGGUGGGAAAUUAGACAGCCCCAAGGUGACUCAGACAGGUAUCAGCUGAACUAGGCUUGGGAUUCUGACCUCUGACUUCAAAGCUUUCUCUUCCACCUUUGACCUCACCUCUCAUCAUGCAGCUCUUGGGGUUCCAGUGAGCCCGAUUUUCAUCUGAUUUUUCUCCGUUGGAAUACAUGAACCUUGCCAGAGGCACAUUAUUAUUGGGCUUACCUAUAUUCACCACUAUUUGGGGGGCACUAUACACUCCUGCGUGGGAGGAAUUUCAGCCUUGUGCACUAGUCAAUCAUCAGCUUGAGUGAUGAGUGAACAACUGGAGAUCCAUGAUUUACAGAUGAAGAGGCUGAAGCUCAGGGAGCUGAAGGGAUUUACUUCAGUUACCUGGGAGUCGCACCCAGAGCCUUCCAGGGUUCCCUUUCUGUUUCCUCCUCAGAGUCAAGGUUGGCUUACCACCCAGCCCACCACCAGCCUACCCUGAGGAAACAGCUCCACCCUCAGCCAGGAGAACAGCCCCAUCUGCUCCCUGGGUGUCCCACACACCACGACACACAGUCAUGCCCGGGCCACACAAAGGCCUCCCCAAGUCCCCAGGUUCAGUCAAGGGGCAGGGAUGGAGGGAAGGGCCAUGGGGGAUGAAGCCGCUGGGAGACACCCGAGGUGCAGGCCCCACCCAGCCCCAAGCCACGCCACAGACUGCGGAAGAAAGGGUCCAGGUGAACUCCAGGCCAGAAAGAGAAGAGGAAGACGCCCAGGUGAUGCUGAGUCACCAAGCCGGUGCAGCUGACUGCUGCCGGCAGAAGGGAGCACCGAGUUGAGUGGGACCUCAGCCCCGUGAGCUUCUC
ensembl:lincRNA